GAUGAACGCUAGCUACAGGCUUAACACAUGCAAGUCGAGGGGCAGCAUGGUCUUAGCUUGCUAAGGCCGAUGGCGACCGGCGCACGGGUGAGUAACACGUAUCCAACCUGCCGUCUACUCUUGGACAGCCUUCUGAAAGGAAGAUUAAUACAAGAUGGCAUCAUGAGUCCGCAUGUUCACAUGAUUAAAGGUAUUCCGGUAGACGAUGGGGAUGCGUUCCAUUAGAUAGUAGGCGGGGUAACGGCCCACCUAGGCUUCGAUGGAUAGGGGUUCUGAGAGGAAGGUCCCCAACAUUGGAACUGAGACACGGUCCAAACACGUACGGGAGGCAGCAGUGAGGAAGAGUGGUCAAUGGGCGCAGGCCUGAACAAGCCAAGUAGCGUGAAGGAGGACUGCCCUAGGGGUUGUAAACUUCUUUUAUAAAGGAAUAAAGUCGGGUAUGUAUACCCGUUUGCAUGUACUUUAUGAAUAAGGAUCGGCUAACUCCGUG
rnacentral:rRNA from 1 species